rnacentral:misc_RNA from 1 species
GAUGAAGAACGCAGCGAACUGCGAUAAGUAAUGUGAAUUGCUGAAUUCAGUGAAUCAUCGAGUCUUUGAACGCACAUUGCGCCCCCUGGCAUUCCGGGGGGCAUGCCUGUCCGAGCGUCAUUGCUGCCCUUCAAGCCCGGCUUGUGUGUUGGGUCGUCGUCCCCCCCGGGGGACGGGCCCGAAAGGCAGCGGCGGCACCGCGUCCGGUCCUCGAGCGUAUGGGGCUUUGUCACCCGCUCGAUUAGGGCCGGCCGGGCGCCAGCCGGCGUCUCCAACCUUCUAUUUUACCAGGUUGACCUCGGAUCAGGUAGGGAUACCCGCUGAACUUAAGCAUAUCAAUAAGCGGAGGA